GAUGAACGCUAGCGGCAGGCCUAAUACAUGCAAGUCGAGGGGUAUCCCGCUUUCGGGCGGGAGAGACCGGCGCACGGGUGCGUAACGCGUAUGCAACCUACCCAUAUCUGGGGGAUAGCCCGGAGAAAUCCGGAUUAACACCGCAUAAAAUCACAGUACGGCAUCGUACAAUGAUCAAAUAUUGAUAGGAUAUGGAUGGGCAUGCGUGUCAUUAGGUGGUUGGCGGGGUAACGGCCCACCAAGGCGACGAUGACUAGGGGAUCUGAGAGGAUGGCCCCCCACACUGGUACUGAGACACGGACCAGACUCCAACGGGAGGCAGCAGUAAGGAAUAUUGGUCAAUGGGCGGAAGCCUGAACCAGCCAUGCCGCGUGCAGGAAGACGGCCCUCUGGGUUGUAAACUGCUUUUAUUCGGGAAUAAACCUGCAUACGUGUAUGCAGCUGAACGUACCGAAGGAAUAAGGAUCGGCUAACUCCGUGCCAGCCGCCGCAGUAA
rnacentral:rRNA from 1 species